CCUACGGGUGGCAGCAGUCGAGAAUCAUUCACAAUGGGCGAAACCCUGAUGCUGCGACGCCGCGUGGGGGAAUGAAGGUCUUCGGAUUGUAAACUCCUGUCAUGUGGGAGCAAAUUAGAAAGUUAGUAUCACAUGAGGAAGAGCCGGCUAACUCUGUGCCAGCAGCCGCGGUAAUACAGAGGUCUCAAGCGUUGUUCGGAAUCACUGGGCGUAAAGCGUGCGCAGGCUGUGUCGUAAGUCGUGUGUGAAAGGCGCGGGCUCAACCCGCGAACGGCACAUGAUACUGCGAGACUAGAGUAAUGGAGGGGGAACCGGAAUUCUCGGUGUAGCAGUGAAAUGCGUAGAUAU
rnacentral:rRNA from 1 species